CGCAAAAAAAAUGCCGCUGAAUUCAAACGUCAGUUUCUUACCCGCGUGCGCGCUCAACCGGUCCGAUGGCAGCUGACAACCUAUGCUGGUGUUGGUAAGGCCGGUUCUACCUACUAAUGUCAAGCGCACUAACACAAAAACACCGAAUGAAUGAUCAAAUACUGAGACAGCUUUCGCUAUCGAGAUGAUUCGGCUUUGAAGAGUGAAACAGUACACACCGGAAGGCGGCUUUUGCGACCACAAGCAACAAAUUUAAAGAGUGAAAAUGUUAUUCCCAAAGAAGAAUAAUUGCAAGAGUGAUUAGUGUAGAUAUCUUUUACUCCAGGAAUGGUGCUCGCGAAAGUACUCUUAAAUUUGAUCAAUUGCGAUUGGCGAAUAUUUAUUGAAAAAUAGUCGGAAAUUGGUUUUCAUCUUCUCGUUGAAAAAUCGUCGGUGUAAUAACAAAAAAAAAAGGAAAUGUAGCGUAUAAGCAAUAUAUUUUGGGAGUGAAAUCCGCAAAAAUAUGUCCGCAAAGGUUGCACCCAAUCGGACACGGAAAAAGGUCCACGUUCCAGAAAAAUCAAUGUUCCAAAAUGGCUGCCGCAGACGCUUGAAAUAAAAAAGGUGUGCUGAUGGCGAUCACAGCCCGUUUGCUUGACACCACAAAGGAAGAAAAAUAAGACGUAAUAAUGCAACUGAAAGGAUACUCACUGAUUCGGAAGUCCCAACAGGACAGCAUUUCGCAGCUGAUUUUUUAAACGACGGAGCCUACUCGGAUGCGUUGUUGGUAUCGUUCGGCAAUUAACAGCGAGCGUCGUCCGGUCAUUCGAAAAAAAAUUGACCAAAUCCCGAACAUAGCAACCGACUCGAGACGGGCUACUUCGAUCGAUUUUAGAGGAAAAUGACUGACCAUGUCAUUGCGAAAUAGCAGCUCGCACUGCUGUAGAGUGAAUCGGACCACCUCCGGGCGUACGUCAGUGUCAAAUUUUAAAAACGGAAUUGGAAAUCGAAGCAGAUUAUGGUACAUUUUGUCAGUGGUAAAAGUGCACAGACUAAGGUAGUGUACUUCACACAAUUAGCUGAAAGAGACAAUGCAUCUGGAUCAACUGCAUGAGGUAUCGGAAUUUAGGAAUUAUUUUAUUUGACAUUAAGCUAGAUUCAGGAUAGGCACAGCAAUUUAUCGAUCGAUUGACAGUUCAUACACAAAACCGAGCGGCUAGUUAAAUAAUUUAUAAUUAUCUCAAUAUUUAAUAUUUACUUUUCGCAUUACACCUCGUGACCAUUGCAGCGUUAUGAACUGAAAUUGGAUAUCUAGUUCCGCGCAAAGAGCUUCAUGUGUACAGAAAAAUAACUCGCCUACGAUACAGCUGUCGUAUUGUUAUUGUAUUUAACGGGAUAAUUAUCUCCUUGAGGUUUGAAUCUCCACUUUCUGUUCAGCUUUUGAUUUUUUUGAGAGCGUCUAAGCAAAACUCAAACAGGUGUUUCUCAACAAUUUCGAUUUCCCAUGCCAACUAUCCACAGGCUUUCGCAGCCUCCUGCGAUCCACAUGAACAGCAUUAACGGCAUGUUUUCGGGACGUGAUAUUAUCACUACGGAAUAUUAUUUUUGCGAAUUCAUUGUUUCUAAAUGACCCAACAUUAAGUCCCAACCAUUUUACUUAUUUUAUUCUGGUUUAAUAGACGACCGUCAGCUCCAAUUUGUAUGUGUUUCGUGAUUUUCAGUAGUUUCUCUGUAACGGUAUAGAGGCUGGUAUUUACUAUGUUUCUAUCGGAAUCCAGCUUCUAUACCUAUCGAUCGUAAAAUUCGAAUAAUUUCAAAAUGCCAAUGAUGCCACGCUCGAAUAGUAAAAUUAGCAGUUUACGCCGUAGCACGAAGAUGUGGUAGUAAUUCCACGUUGAUCGGCAUAUGCGUUUAGUUAUCAACAAAGCUAUUAUAGUUUACGAAGUUUUAACAGACAAUUCCAGUUAUGUUUUCAUCUUUUCUAACUUGUAUGUGUUUAGUUCCAUAGAGGUUAGUAUUCACUCUAUUUCGGAUAGCACAACAAGAAACUCACUUCUCGAUAUGUACUUAACCUUCUAUAAAUCUACUGUGACUCUAAUAUUAAACCUGAGAAACCCAUCAAAAAUUUUCGAAGCUGUCUAGAUUUUCUGAGCAUAUCUAACCGUACACACGAAGCGCACUUAAGCUUCCAGAUAUUACUGUACUCUUGGAACAUAAUCAAUAAGCUCAUAAUCAAUAAUCAAUAAGCUCGGAACUUCCGUACCCACAUUUAAAAUGUCGCCACAGAAACAGUCACGGUCGCCAUGUUAACAUGCGUAUAUAUCCUUAUUCUAAUACAUUGCUUCCGAGAUGUGAUAUUAACACUGCGGGCUGUACUUUUUCAUCCGGAAACAUAUGAACACUCAUCGAUGGGUAUAUGUUUCGUUCUAUCUUCCCGAGCAAGGAAGUCACCAUCGUUUGGAACUAUAAACUACGUUGUUUGAUAGUUUCAAUUCAAAUCGUUUCAUUCAAUUCCUUUCCGUUUACAUACUGCCAUACUGAAUUUAACCGAAUCAACCGGACUAAAUUCAUGCUUCAAUUCAAAACUGUUCACUCUUUGACAGUCACACGCAUUUGCGGCAAAAUCAAGUUUUUUUGGGAGAAAAUAGACAUACGACUUACAUAUUGCAAAUUGAUUUGUUUAGAGGGACGAUUGUGAACAAACACAAACUUGAUUCAGAAAGUCGUCAUCAUAUGACCAAAGGUCGCAUGAGUACGAACAAUACCGAAAUACUUCCACUGUAAGUUCUUUUUAAGUUCUAUUUCUAUUAUUUUUGCGAAAGCCAUUCACUGAAAUUUCUCAAUAUUUUCUAUUUCCUAUUCGUAUGCGAAAUGUCGGUUAAGCAGGACACCAGCCUACUGUGGUUUCUUUCAAAUUCUAUUUCAAUUUUUUUGCGAGUGAUUUCAAGCAAAUCUUUCGACACGUGAUAUUAUCACUACGGAAUAUUCUUUUUGCUUCUAAAUAUUAAACUUCACAAUAUUACAAUAUGCAUUGCAAAUUUACGGGACUGAUACAUCUUGAAUUCGUCAUCAUAUGACCAAAGGUCGCAAGAGUGCCCGUAGAAGGAUUCAACCACUGAAAUUUCGGAUAUGUUUUAGAAAUUCGUUUUUUGUUCUGUGUAUUGCUUACUCGGUGAUAUCGUUCCGUUGUGUGAUACUAUCGCCACGGUAUAUUACUCUUGAGGAAGAAGACGACCAAUUCUAGAACAAGCCAAGCUUUCGAUACGUGAUAUUAUCACUACGGAAUAUUAUUUUUACCCUGAGUUGGUCCGCCAUCUCCGAAACCUCAGCCGUUUCUUCACCGAUUUUCAUCGUUUGACGCUCCAUCGAACUGCAUCCCAGCAGGCGUGUGUUAUGAGCCUACGAAGCGUUCGGAUUCAAACUACAGCACAUAAUGCGGGUCUAACUCAGACUGAGGUUAUAUUUUACUUUAAGUUUCUACAGAGCUACAGCGUCGGGCGGUACCUACGUGACACUUUUUGCUACGGUCAGCGUUGUCGUGCAGUAGACUCGAGUAUGCUGACGAUUUACAGUUCAGCGUUGAAAGAGAUGAUACCAAUCACUGUAGGUUCUUUUUAAGUUCUAUUUCUAUUAUUUUUAUGAAACCGGAGUUAAUGCUAACCACUAAAGUUUCUCAAUAUUUUCUAUUUCCUAUUCGUAUGCGAACUGUCAGAUAGCAAACCAGCCUAUUGCGGUUUAUUGCAGAACAAGCCAAGCUUUCGACACGUGAUAUUAUCACUACGGAAUAUUAUUUUUGCCUUAAAGAGAAUCUGAAAAACGAAACAAGUUAACGGAUCACUUCAAGAUAAACUGUGGUUGAAAGUUGUUAAUUAUGAUUGGCAUUGGCACGAACUCAAUGCCGUUCUUGGAUUUGUGGUAUUUGCUUUGUCAAAUAAAACACAUUCUCUUUGCGUGUCCAGAAGGGAACUGACUUAGUUUUAUUUCAUAUAUUAUUUACAGAGUUGAUUUAAACCUCGAGUUGGUUCCGUCGAUUCGCUGAUUCAAGCGCUUUCAGUCGCUUGCCGUUUCGUCGCCAUCUCCAUAUGAUGACGACGACGAUGAUGAUUACGAAAAAUGCACCGUCCAGAGAAUACGAUGCGACGUCGUGUGCGCUGAUUGUGUUUUGGAUGAUCACGUCGUCCCCGAACGGCCACAUCGUGCUGAGUUGCGUGCUUCGAUGAAAUUGGAGAACUGUUGCAGUUCGAUGGCGGCGCGCAUACUUUUAAGGCCCUCCAAUGCGGAUGUUUGUGGUGCUCCGUUUAUGCUGAGAACGGGCAUUUCGAUUGUUUUGAAAACGCUACGAUUAAGGGGACCAUGGUGCAUAGUUUAGCUUAGAGUCCCCCGCUAGCACUCGGACGAUGAUCAGCCGCCCCUAGCAGACGCUGUUGUGAGCCGUUCCUAACAUGGAGAACAGACGCUCCGCUACAGGUUUUCCGAAGCGAACCACCUUCACUGUCUGCUUACGACCGUAGUUUCCACCGGGGGUUGGUUACCCAAUCUCUACUAUAGUUGCUCGUACCCCGGUCAGUACCGCGUGGAGGCAGGGACGGGAGUUGCAAGGCGUAAGGUAAGGACCACGCGUGGGGUAUUUUAUUCAUUCGGAUACGCAAUACUCAGCCAUUUACCAACCACAGCUGGACGAAACUAAUUAGAAAAUCAACAUUCUCCAGAACAACAACAGCGAUAACAGUAUGGACGAAAACAACGACCGAGAAUACGGGACCGAAUGACCCUGAGAAAUUAUUAGAAGCCGCUGAAAAUGAUUCACCACCGUGGAAAAGAAUCUCCGCGCGGAUUGGAAUUAUUUACUGUAAAUAUAUAAAAGACACGUGGCUCCGAUAAGCUCACGCGUCUAGCCGGUUCCAAUAAACGAAUUUUAAAAAAUCGGAUCCUGGUCGGAAUCCUACACAUCACACCACUAUAAUUCUUAGUAGGAUUGCAUAAGAAUCUUGAGAUAACUAUCACCAUUCGGAGAAGAAUUCUAUCGGAAUGCCAAGCAUGAUUUAUCAGAAUCCCAAUUACAAUACUGCAAAAUAUUAACGGAAUCCUGGGAAGCCUUACGAAUCCCAAACAGAAUUUUGAGAAGCAUGUCAUCGGAAUUCUUAGAGAGUACCAAAAAUAGACUACAGAGUGCCGGACUCGUGCGUCAAAAUGGCUUGCAGUAUUCAAUUUUCUCUGAUCAGAGAGGAAUUUUCGAAAGUAGUUCAAAAUCCGUCUCCUUAUGCACGGGCCUGUCAGUCAAGUUCUUCCGUUCGAGAAUGUAUUUUUUUAAUAUUUGAGUACAUUCUGCUCACGGUUGAGUGCAAAAAACUUAGUAGUGAGUUGUGAUUUUUUCUCAAACUGUAUUAAAGCGAUUUAUCAUUUUUUUCUGUUUGCGUGGUACCUCAAUACUUAACAUUACUAACUCAAUAUUAGGCUAUUUUUAAUUUUCGUGUGCGCUAUCUGACAUCUGUACAUCCUACCUCCUCCAACUUUCCUGUUUUUCAGCAGCGAAAUAACGACAGCAGAUUAAAAUUACCCACAUGGUAGGUAAUGGAACUUAAAUGUGUAUGUAUCAACGCAAAAAAAAUGCCGCUGAAUUCAAACGUCAGUUUCCUACCCGCGCGCGCGCUCAACCGGUCCGAUGGCAGCUGACAACCUAUGCUGGUGUUGGUAAGGCCGGUUCUACCUACUAAUGUCAAGCGCACUAACACAAAAACACCGAAUGAAUGAUCAAAUACUGAGACAGCUUUCGCUAUCGAGAUGAUUCGGCUUUGAAGAGUGAAACAGUACACACCGGAAGGCGGCUUUUGCGACCACAAGCAACAAAUUUAAAGAGUGAAAAUGUUAUUCCCAAAGAAGAAUAAUUGCAAGAGUGAUUAGUGUAGAUAUCUUUUACUCCAGGAAUGGUGCUCGCGAAAGUACUCUUAAAUUUGAUCAAUUGCGAUUGGCGAAUAUUUAUUGAAAAAUAGUCGGAAAUUGGUUUUCAUCUUCUCGUUGAAAAAUCGUCGGUGUAAUAACAAAAAAAAAAGGAAAUGUAGCGUAUAAGCAAUAUAUUUUGGGAGUGAAAUCCGCAAAAAUAUGUCCGCAAAGGUUGCACCCAAUCGGACACGGAAAAAGGUCCACGUUCCAGAAAAAUCAAUGUUCCAAAAUGGCUGCCGCAGACGCUUGAAAUAAAAAAGGUGUGCUGAUGGCGAUCACAGCCCGUUUGCUUGACACCACAAAGGAAGAAAAAUAAGACGUAAUAAUGCAACUGAAAGGAUACUCACUGAUUCGGAAGUCCCAACAGGACAGCAUUUCGCAGCUGAUUUUUUAAACGACGGAGCCUACUCGGAUGCGUUGUUGGUAUCGUUCGGCAAUUAACAGCGAGCGUCGUCCGGUCAUUCGAAAAAAAAAAUUGACCAAAUCCCGAACAUAGCAACCAACUCGAGAAGGGGCUACUGCGAUCGAUUUUAGAGAAAAAUGACUACAAUGUCAUUGUGAAAUAGAGGCUCGCACUACUGUAGAGUGAAUCGGACCACCCCCGGGCGUACGUCAGUGACAAAUUUUCAAGACGGAGUUUUAAAUCUGAACAGAUUACGGUAGAUCAUCUCGGUGGUAAAAGUACACAGACUAAGGUAGUGUAUCUAACAGAACUAGCUGAAAGAGACAAUGCACUUGGACCAACUAUUUCCACUGUCAACUGCAUGAGGUAUCGAAAUUUAGGAAUUAAUUUAUUUGACAUUAACUAAGCUAGGUUCAGGAUAGGCACAGCAAUUUAUCGAUCGAUUGACAGUUCAUACACAAAACCGAGCGGCUAGUUAAAUAAUUUAUAAUUAUCUCAAUAUUUAAUAUUUACUUUGCGUAUUACACCUCGUGAUUAUUGCAGCGAAAUGAACUGAAAUUGGAUAUCUAGUUCCGAGCAAAGAGCUUCACGUGUACAAAAAAAUAACUCGCCUACGAUACAGACUUUCGUAUUGUUAUUGUAUUUAACGGGAUAAUUGUCUCCUUGAGAUUUGAAUUUCACUUUCUGUUCAGCUUUUGUAUUUCUUUGGGAGCGUUUAAGCAAAACUCAACAAAUGUUUCUCAACAAUUUCGAUUUCCCAUGCCAACUAUCCGCAGGCUGACGCAGUCUUCUGCGAUCUACAUGAACAGCAUUAACGGCAUUUUUUUUCGGGACGUGAUAUUAUCACUACGGAAUAUUAUUUUUGCGAAUUCAUUGUUUCUAAAUGACCCAACAUUAAGUCCCAACCAUUUUACUUACUUUAUUCUGGUUUAAUAGACCACCGUCAGCUCCCAUUUGUAUGUGUUUCGUGAUUUUCAGUACUUUCUCUGUUAUGGUAUAGAGGCUGGUAUUUACUGUGUUUCUGUCAGAAUCCAGCUUUUAUACCUAUCGAUCGUAAAAUUCGAAUGAUUUCGGAAUGCCAAUGAUGCCACGCUCGAAUAGCAAAAUUAGAAGUUUACGCCGUAGCAAGAUGAUGUGGUAGUAAUUCUACGUUGAUCGGCAUAUGCGUCUAGUUAUCAACAAAGCUAUUAGAAGUUUUAACAGACAAUUCCUGUUAGUCGAUCUGAUUGACACUUCUUCUAUCUAUGUCUCUUCUUGUAACUUAUAUUUUCAUCUUUUCUAGCUUGUAAGUGUUUAGUUCCAUAGCGGUUAGUAUUCACUCUAUUUCGGAUAGCACAACAAAAAACUCACUUCUCUAUAUGUAGUUAACCUUCUACAAAUCUACCGUGACCCGAAUGCUAAACCUGAGAAACCCAUUAAAAAUUCUCGAGGUUGUCUAGAUUUUGUGAGUAUAUCAAACCGUACACAGGAAGCGCAAUUAAGCUUCCAGAUAUAACUGUACUCUUGGAAUAUAACCAAUUAGUUCGGAACUUUCGUACCAACAUUUAGAAUGUCGCCACAGAAACAGUCACGGUCGCCAUGUUAACUUUAUUCUAAUACAUUGCUUCCGAGAUGUGAUAUUAACACUGCGGGCUGUACUUUUUCAUCCGGAAACAUAUGAACAGUCAUCGAUGGGUAUACGUUUCGUUCUAUCUUCCCGAGCAAUGAAGUCACCAUCGUUUGGAACAACAAACUACGUUGCUUGAUAGUUUCAAUUCAAAUCGUUUCAUUCAAUUCCUUUCCGUUUACAUACUGCCCUAUGGCAAUGUUGUACUCUAGGACUGGUCCCGGAAUUUAACCGAAUCAAAUAGUUUCAUGCUUCAAUUCAAAACUGUUCACUCUUUGACAGUUACACGCAUUUGCGGUAAAAUCAAGUUUUUUAGGGAGAAAAUAGACAUACCACUUACAUAUUGCAAAUUGAUUUGUUUAGUGGGACGAUUGUGAACAAACACAAACUUGACUCAGAAAGUCUCAAAAAGUCGUCAUCAUAUGACCAAAGGUCGCAUGAGUACGAGCAAUACUGAGGUACUUCCACUGUAAGUUCUUUUUAAGUUCUAUUUCUAUUAUUUUUGCGAAAGCCAUUCACUGAAAUUUCUCAAUAUUUUCUAUUUCCUAUUCGUAUGCGAACUGUCGGUUCAGCAGGACACCAGCCUACUGUGGUUUCUUUCAAAUUCUAUUUCAAUUUUUUUGCGAGUGAUUUCAAGCAAAUCUUUCGUCACGUGAUAUUAUCACUACGGAAUAUUAUUUUUGCUUCUAAAUAUUAAACUUCACAAUAUUACAAUAUGCAUUGCAAAUUUACGGGACUGAUACAUCUUGAAGUCGUCAUCAUAUGACCAAAGGUCGCAAGAGUGCCCGUAGAAGGAUUCAACCACUGAAAUUUCGGAUAUGUUUUAGAAAUUCGUUUUUUGUUCUGUGUAUUUCUUACUCGGUGAUAUCGUUCGGUUGUGUGAUAUUAUCGCCACGGAAUAUUACUCUUGAGGAAGAAGACAACCAAUUCUAGAACAAGCCAAGCUUUCGACACGUGAUAUUAUCACUACGGAAUAUUAUUUUUACCCUGAGUUGGUUCGCCAUCUCCGAAACCUCAGCCGUUUCUUCACCGAUUUUCAUCGUUUGACGCUCCAUCGAACUGCAUCCCAGCAGGCGUGUGUUAUGAGCCUACGAAGCGUUCGGAUUCAAACUACAGCACAUAAUGCGGGUCUAACUCAGACUGAGGUUAUAUUUUCCUUUAAGUUUCUACAGAGCUACAGCGUCGGGCGGUACCUACGUGACACUUUUUGCUACGGUCAGAGUUGUCGUGCAGUAGACUCGAGUAUGCUGACGAUUUACAGUUCAGCGUUGAAAGAGAUGAUACCAAUCACUGUAGGUUCUUUUUAAGUUCUAUUUCUAUUAUUUUUAUGAAACCGGAGUUAAUGCUAACCACUAAAGUUUCUCAAUAUUUUCUAUUUCCUAUUCGUAUGCGAACUGUCAGAUAGCAAACCAGCCUACUGCGGUUUAUUGCAGAACAAGCCAAGCUUUCGACACGUGAUAUUAUCACUACGGAAUAUUAUUUUUGCCUUAAAGAGAAUCUGAAAAACGAAACAAGUUAACGGAUCACUUAAAGAUAAACUGUGGUUGAAAGUUGUUAAUUAUGAUUGGCAUUGGCACGAACUCAAUGCCGUUCUUGGAUUUGUGGUAUUUGCUUUGUCAAAUAAAACACAUUCUCUUUGCGUGUCCAGAAGGGAACUGACUUAGUUUUAUUUCAUAUAUUAUUUACAGAGUUGAUUUAAACCUCGAGUUGGUUCCGUCGAUUCGCUGAUUCAACCGCUUUCAGUCGCUUGCCGUUUCGUCGCCAUCUCCAUAUGAUGACGACGACGACGAUGAUGAUUACGAAAAAUGCACCGUCCAGAGAAUACGAUGCGACGUCGUGUGCGCUGAUUGUGUUUUGGAAGAUCACGUCGUCCCCGAACGGCCACAUCGUGCUGAGUUGCGUGCUUCGUUGAAAUUGGAGAACUGUUGCAGUUCGAUGGCGGCGCGCAUACUUUUAAGGCCCUCCAAUGCGGAUGUUUGUGGUGCUCCGUUUAUGCUGAGAACGGGCAUUUCGAUUGUUUUGAAAACGCUACGAUUAAGCGCUUUUCGUUUGUUCGCUGUAACAUUGUGGUGGGGUGAUGCAUUACUUUGUGUCACACCAGUGGUUAUUGUUUUCUCUUUGUACUAGCGCUGGUGCGGGAUUUGUAAACUUGCACCAGUAAGCAUGUAAUAAUUUCAGGUCUUCGAAUUGCCUCAUUUAUUUUUUCUAAUUAAUUGAUAAUAUUAUUGAUAAUUGAACAUUGAAUAAUUAGAUGAUUGUUUCAUUUUAGUUAGAUUAGUGGAGAUCUUCUACCACGCUUCUCUUUUAGUUCGGUCGGGUGACCACAACUGAACUUUGAGAAAUUGCUCGUUGUAUAGCGCGUUCGUUACGCAUCCGUUCAUAUUUCGUGAAUACUUUGUAGAUUGGAUAGAGCAUCACGGUCACUUCGGCUGUUAUAACGCAUAUGCAAGCUGACUUUGACACUUUAUCUACUAAAACUUAUUGUAGACUGUCACGGUCACCAUUUCGGGUCCGGAUAUGUGGACAUUCAAAGGACAUUUUCGGAUGUCAACUUACUCGAUUGAAGUGGGUUUUACUAAUGUUUCUAUAUUUGUUCAAGAAGAACCGCCGAGGGUUCCAUUGGUUCAAACAUCUGGCAUGCAUACUUAAACCCAAACCGCUUAAAAGGAAAACAUAAGUUAUUGCUAUUGCGUAACGUUGCCUACGGUAUGCUGCAACUGCACCGUUUUUGAACUGAUUAGAGAUCAUCCAUAAAUGACGCUGCAUUAUAUGGGGGAGAGGGGAGUUUUUAAUUUUGUGAUGUUGUGUGACGACAGGGGGUAGGGGGUCAUGUCAUGGCGUUCAAAUCUGUUCACUCUUUGACAGUCACACGCAAUUGCGGUAAAAUCAAGUUAUUUGAGAGAAACUAGACAUACGACUUACAUAUUGCAAAUUGAUUUGAGCCGGAAGACACCAAUUCUAGAACAAGCCAAGCUUUCGACACGUGAUAUUAUCACUACGGAAUAUUAUUUUUACACUGCGUUGGUUCGCGAUCUCCAAAACCUCAGCCGUUUCUUCACCGAAUUUCAUCUUUUGACGAUGCAUCAAACUGCAUCCCAGCGGUCGCGAUUGGGAUUUAGAUAAAGUUCCUUUACAUGUUUCCGAAACUGUGACUUGACUUCACUAUUUACUGUUCAACGUUGAAAGAGAUGAUACCAAUCACUGUAGGUUCUUUUUAAGUUCUAUUUCUAUUAUUUUUACGAAACCGGAGCUACUGCUAACCACUAAAAUUUCUCAAUAUUUUCUAUUUCCUAUUCGUAUGCGAACUGUCAGCGCAACACGAUGCCAGCCUACUGUGAUUUCUUGUAACGAAAAAAAACAACAAGCGGAGCUUGUAAGUAGGGGUUUUCCACUACCUGGGUUCACGACAGGACGACAGAUUCGUCAACCAGCUAUUUCGGAUUUUCGUACACAAACAACAAAAGCGAGCAGUGCCAGCAGUUCAAGACUUGGCGAAUCUAUUUUGUCCUAACCCAUUCUAUUAUCGAUUAUUUCUGCACCUUCUUUAACCGCAUCAAUACGCGAGUUUUGGCAUUCCUAUAACUUGGUGAUGGUUUCCAUGUGUUCCGAAUGUUGAGGGACCCGUUACUACAAAACGCGUAGAUUCAACUAUACACGAGAAUGAAAUUUAAUUUCGACAGCAAAAUAUGCAAACGGAACUGAUCUUGUUUGCCCAACUAUUGCUAGAUCUCUUCACUUCCCAUCGCCGUGAAGUCGAAUUUGUGUUUUAUCCUCAGCCAUUUUCUGUUUCUAUUUGGCGACAAAAAUACUUUUACUAAACUGAAAACCCUGGCGGUUUCUGUUCAUUGUAUGGUCUGUAAAUCGCCAAAAACUUUUAUUAAUUUUGAGAAUCUCGAAAUGAUAAAAAAAUACCUCUGACCGGAAGUUAGCUAAUUUCCAGUUACUCGUCAUGUACACAAAAUUCUGUUUGCUAUUACGCGUACUGCGCACUUUCCCCGCCUAGCGCUCAGCUCGCCAUCUGCAGGCGAAUAGCAAAAAGUGUGCCCCGCACUUUAAACCGGCGGGUGGAUAGUCACGACGUUGGACUAGUUUUUACCACAACACGUUAGCUUGUCCCAUGUUAAACUGCAACUAUUUUAAGUUCUAUACACUACAAACUUAAAUAACUGUUUGAUUUCAAGAUGAACAGUACAAAAAAUGAAGUACAACCACUGUAGUUUCUUUUUAAGUUCUAUUUCUAUUAUUUUUACGUAACGAAACGUUUCCGCGGAUUUUAGUUUACCUUUCCAUGUUCGAUUUCAACUUACAGCUGCGAAGGUUCGUGAAAUUAGGCGGCAAACUAACUGCAUGCAGACAUUUUUAUUCUUAUUUAAUUUUAACUUAGCUUCUAUAUCACAAUUGUACAAAUGCAGAUUGGAUAUUACCGCAGAAAAUAAGCCACUCUCAAACCUGUUUACAGACAUUGUAUGCUUCCAUGCCUAUACGGCAAACAUUUUAGCCAAUUUUGUGGCACCACUAAAAUUUUUCUUGUAUCUAGCGACCCUGUUUAGGUUUCGCUCAGUUACACUAUAUGACCCGACAAAUUGCACAGCAGCCAUUACGAAACCGAAAACUGGUAGAUCCUUCACUAAAUUAUGUGCUUUUUGCCCAUUUACGGCACAUCUAGAAAGGACUUACAUUCCCACAAAUAGUCAAAAACACUUCACUGAAUUUUCACCCGCGUUGUUUACGCCAUAAAACCAACUUUACGGUGACCGUUCGCAAGAAAACGUCCACUAGCCAGACACUCGCGCACUACAUUACACGAGCCUCUUGGAAUCUAAUUCAGCCCCCAAUGGGUGGUAUGCCUUAGUUUAGCAGAGCCUUCGGUAUAUCGCAAGGCUCUGGAUCGAUUAUACCGCGCAUGAAAUUCAUGCGUUUCUCCAGACUUGCAUCUGGGGCUAGUGUCAGUGAUUCCGCCAUGAAAAUAAGUUGAGCGUUGGCAAGACCCGAUCCCUUUGUUGCUGAAACAACUGUCUAGUGCUCUUAUUGGACAAUUGAAGCAUACAAUGUACGGCGAACUAAAACUAACGGGCUGUUUUCGUAACUUUUCUUUUAUUUUUCACUGAUAUAUUACGGACUACCCAACCGAAAACUCAAACGGGUCACUACCCCGGACGCGGCCGGGCGAUGGCUACUACAAUCAACUGCCUUAAACGAAUGACUCCGCAGGACGCGGCCGGGCGAGAGCAACUUGAACGACUGAACUGACCAACUAAAUGACUCUUUUCGAUUUGACACAAAAGACUUUUAUCAUGUCAUCUGUGUAGACUUUACUCUGAGAGAGUCUCAGACCUAAACAAAACAUUCUUACCACGCUCGCGAGAGUAAAGACCCCGGUGGAUGAAUCAGUAGUUCAUUAUGACUCAUACCCGGAGGCCUUUACUUUCUACAACAGCGUCGCCGUCUGCUGCUAGCAGCAACAAACUGUGUUUAAUUAAACAAAGUGUUAAUGCGUUUCCGUAAGCAUAUGGCUUGGAAAGCGCGAGUGCAUCAAAAUAUCAGCUUAGCUUAAGGCUGCAGCUGGUGAUGUAACCCAGGAAAUUAAGUUCCCUGGUGCACCACUUGGAGAAAUUUGCCAGGGUUGAUGCUGGCCGAAAACUAUGGGCGCUGCACAAUGAACCGCCGUAGAAAUCCAAUAACUGAUAAAAAUCCAUUUAAUAAAAUCCAUCUUUAAAACUACAAAGCCCACACUCAACUCAGUCGUCGACAGGUCAAACUCGAAUCAGUGAUAACACCAUCGAUUUCAACGUCCCUCGAGGGUAUAUACACGCGAUAAUAUCAAAUGAUAAUCGCAGCACGCCUUACCUGGUAUUGAUUUUCUGGUAAAUCUGCCUAUGGUAGAUCGGAUUUUGUCAUCACUAGUCACGAACUGCUCUUAUCUACGGUUCGAACAAAUCUCACUCCUUUAUUUCAACUUAUUGUUAAGUCCUAAUUUAUGAAACUCUUCGUCUACGAACUCAUCUUCGGAUUUAAGCAAAAACGACUCUGUAUUUUUAUAGAACUCUUCACAUGAAACUUUCUUACUUUUCAAUAAUUCCUUCGACAAUUGCGUAUUUGCAGUCUUCUUAAAAUAUAUAUAUAAAGAUUUUUUAAACAUUCGUAGUUAUUCAUUUGCUAUUUUUGUUGUAUGUUUUAACGGAAAAAAAUUGUUCAUUUAUGACUGGAAUUAUUGAUACCUUUGUUUUUCCAUGAUACCUCGAUUGAUCCUCUAUGCUGUCGUUCUUUUGCUUGGGUCGCUCUCCAUCCACUGCUUGUCCUUUACGCUGCUUUUUUUCCUUUUACGAUUUUAGAAGUUUCUUUUUUGAAACACUGUUCCGAUAAAUGGUAGAAAAUUAUUACCAAUGUUGCUUGUUGGGAAUCGGCUACCAAUUGAACAUUUAGAUCAUCAACAUUUACUGGCUGUUUGUCAUUUUCAGGUUGAGUUUGAUCAUCAAUCGUGAUAGAGCUAACCACUGAAAUUUCUCAAUAUUUUCUAUUUCCUAUUCGUAUGCGAAGUGUCAGAGAAACAGAGGAAUUGGUUUUUCUCACCUUGUUUUGAAAUGUUUCAGUCCUCCAUUUGUUUCGACCAAAGCUUUUGCUUCUAAUUGAAUCAAUCACUCUCAAACGCUGCAACUAUCGGUCACUCAUAAACAACUUUUUCCGCUGCUUUCUCCCGGUGGAGCCCUGAAUUUUUCCUCCUUUUGUAUUUCUUUUUCUCUUGCUGAAAUGUAAGUUUAUGUAUCGCUUCAAUAUUCUUUUGCAUUUCUUUUUCGAGGAGUUCCUGCCAGGAGUCGUCGAAUGACAGUAUGUACGAGUUGACAUACAGUUUCACAGCUCAUUUUUUUGUUUUUCACACUUUUAAAUUCGGUCAAGUUAAAAUAAAACAAACUUUAGCGCGCGGCACCGGGAGCGAAUGUAAAACACGUCCGUACUUAUUGAUGACUAGACUGUAGCCUAUUUUGUAUAAUACAAUCGAACUGGGUUAUUAGAUCUGUUCGUGUUGAGCUUUCGAUGGUGAUUUCUGCCGGAGAAGUAAUUUUGGCUAUUUCUGUUUAGGCGUUGAUUCAAGUUUGUGGAUUUUGUGGGUUCCGCGUUUUUCAAAUUUCUCAAUUUCCUCGUAUGUGCACCGUGAUAUGCACAGCUUCACUGUUUGUUCUCGACUGACAUUUUUCUUUUUACUUAUUCAUAAAUUUUCUUAUCCGUUAUAAGCUUAUUUUUCGACCUCCUUUCCAAGUAAUUCGUGGUAAUUCAACGAAUAAUUCUCCUCCCUCAUCAAUCCAUGCAAUCGCUACUUCAACUAGUCAGGUUUAGAUGGCGCUGCAGGUGUUAAGUGGAACUAGCAGGCAUAUUCUUGGCGGCUUGAUUCUCGCAUCUGCAUGACAAAAUUAUUCUGGUUGCAGUUGAAAACUGGAAAAUCAAUCCAGCGACAAUCGGUUUUUCUCCUGUUUAUUGCCAAUCCAUGAUGUCGAAAGUAGUGCGCUGGGUAGCGCAUCAUUUUACAAAAACAGCGCACUACUUCCGACGUGAUUCCAUUGUUUAGAACUAGAGAAAAUACGAUUGUCGCUAGUUGGAUUUUCCAGUUUUCAACUGCAGCCAGAAUAUAACUCAACAAGAUCCGUGGGGUACACAAAAUAAUAAUCCAUCGUUCGAUUUUGUGAUACGGUUAUCCGACGCUGUUUUGAUUAUUGUUGUAUUUACCGACCACCGUCAUUUAACUUAUUGUUGGGCUUUGCAAACGAGCGAGCUUAGUCUCCACGCACAAAAAGCGAUGCUUUACAGGACACGACACUUAUUGCUCUUACUAACGAUAAGAAGGAUUAAAAAAUUACCUUUUUAGUCGACCAGUUACGGGUGCAUCCACUGCCAUUUCUCAAUAUUUUCUAUUUCCUAUUCGUAUGCGAACUGUCAGCGCAACACGACGCCAGCCUAGUGUGAUUUCUUGUAAAGGGAAAAAAAGCAAGCGAAGCUUGUAAGUAGCGGUUUUCCCACUAACUGGGUUGUUUUUAUAUGUCCGUGUAACCUCUGAAGCGUAUAUAGUAAAAUUCUUGCUAACUUCACCAACUACUAGUCAUCUGUCUCUAUACGGCAUGCGAUACUUUGGACAAACUAAAGCGAACAAACUACACGCGUGCUUCCAAUAUAUUUGGCGGACUGGGACGAAAUGAACUAGCAUCAUUAGUCCUCACAUUAGGGACGGUAAUUUCGUACGAACCUACAGGAAGUACGUAAUUUUCCAUAAAUUUUUUCGGACAAGUUCGGAAAUCCUACUGGCUGUUUUAUUCUGUCAGCUUACCUUUUGGCUCUAUCUGUCCCUCUCCGUCAUGCAUUCCAAGCGAAGGGAUCCUCAUGGUUUUCGUCUACAGGAGAAUCUCAACAGGAAAAUUAAUUUUGUUUCAUUCGCGUUGCGGGCAAGAGUCGAUCCCACGGUAGGUUAUCUAACUCUUGGCGCAAACAGAUCAGACUGUUCCUAUGUAUCUAGUGCAAUAAUGCAUUGCUAUUCUCAUCUAUUCUAAAUCAACUCAUACCGCGUCUUCUGUUAUUUUCCGGAGAUCUCCCGAACCUAAUUGUUUUAGUGUAGAUUCGCCUUUAGUUCUUAAUUGCGGCUAUGCGCCACCUAUAAUUUCUCCUCAAUCAACUGGUACCACGACACUAACUGAGAUUGCAAUCUCAAUAACUGACUGACUACGAUUAAUUAUGCUUUUCAUGCUCUGAUGGGAAAUUUAUUAGGUUCCACUGGCCCUGUUUCAAUAGACUUAACACUUCACUGUGACAUCGUACGGCUGCGCCAAUUAUAUAAGCCACGGUGUGGUCUGUCUAAAAGGCGAAUCUCUUUAUCCAGAAGGGAUUCAGCGUUUGUAGCUUUAUCGUCACGAUUUGAAGUCACCGCCUCCUACUUGUACAAUCCAACCACUGGAAUUUUGGCUAUAUACGGCCGUUUCAUCAGCGUUAGGGUAGUAUACACCACUCUUUGUAAGCUACCAGAGAACUUAAAAACCGAAUAAACAUAUUAAUCAAGUACAGCACAUUAUUAUUACAUAAUACCAAACCUAACUUAGCUGACAUGGAGCCAACAUGAAUAGCCGUUGGUGGCUCUUCAUGAUUACACCGGGUACCACGCAAUCAGCAUGGAAACUUCUUUGACCCGUGUCGUCACAUUUCUAUAGGUAAUUGUUAUCACUUAUUUCACACUAGCUUAUUCCACACUUUUCUAUAUGACGCGACGAUACGUACUUCCUUUUAAGAGAUUAAAAAAAUGGAACCUGAAGCUUCCUUUGUAAACUGCCUUACAAUUUUGUUUCAAAAUUAUUCAUAAAGUAAUAGUUUGUUUCCUAAUUCGAGGGUUUGCUUCGGCACUGUUUCUUAGAGCGUCUGUGAAUCUGUUUACUCUAGUUGUCAGAACGAUUGUUUUGUGCUUUAACUUUCAUUAUUCUAUUAGCCUGAGCACGCCCUGUCGAAACCGACAAAAAAUGCUAUUUUUCUGCGGGCCGUGUUUACCAACACUGCCAUUAAGCUGUGAAGCAAUAUUUGUAAACACGGCUCACAAUGUAAAAGUCAAUUAUGUCGACUUACUAGGCUAACUCUAGCAUCGUUUAUGUUAGCUGCUGCGUCUUGGAUGGUCCGUUCCAGAAAAUACUCUAACUCUUGGUCAAACGUUGCGAGAGAAAAAAGGUAAAUAAAAGAGUGCACGCUAAACUCUAAUUGCCCAUAAAAUUGGGUAAAUAAAGCUGCCGACUUCCAUUACACACCAUUUCUGUCGUCAAAGUGCAAAUCGAUCUAACCACUGCAAUUUUGCUAUAUCCUUCCUGCAAUGCAAUUUGAAGCAAAGACUUCCAUUAUCAGUAACUCAGACAACCAGUGACUUUUUAGGAGCAGCUUAUUUCUCACGAAUUUAACUGAUUUGAAUUUGACCGCAGACCGCCUGGUAGUGUUUAAAUUCACAUUUUCAUUGGAAAUGAACGUGACCAAUCAUGUUACAAGAUUUUACACUGCAAUGCAUUAUUCUGAUUUUAUUUUUCGAUUACUGUAGUGCUUGUUGUGUAUAAUUUUCGCCUUUGCCAGGGCAAUCUGAGUACAGUGUAAAGUCUAGUCUAAAAUUUUUUCUCUUUAUCGUUCCCUAACCUUAAAAUCUCUCAUUUAUUGUGAUUUAGGGUCGGAUUUAAUUGACCAAAAAUAUACAGUUAAUUAUUACUUGUACUUAGAACUCGUCGAUCAGUUCCUAUAUUUCCUGUGGCAUGAUGUCCAUCUCGAGACAUUUGAUGAAGCUGCCAUUGUUCUGUUGUAGAUGAGUAUGUCCUAUUGGACCACUGUUCCCUACUUGUUUUAGUCUUUUUUUUCUUGUGUAACUUGUCUCGCUGAAUAACUCGAUUUUCGUUGUUUAACACUUUUUGAGUCCGCAAAACUUUUCUUAAUUUUUUGUAAUUUGUCUCUUUUUGCUUUUAUUUCCAAUCAAAAUUCGGUUUUACUUACUAACGUUUGGGCCUUGAGACGAUCGAAACUGUUUUGGUGGGCGACCCGACUUGCUUCCCACUUUUAGCUGUUUGUUGUCAGUACAGUUUUAUUACACCUUUUCCACACGGUCGCCAUCAAAUACCUUUUUUAAAUAUAUUUUUUUUAUUCUAAUAUACUCACUAGUUACCGAAUAUUGAGUGAGCGUAGAAAGAUUCAACCACCGAAAUUUCGGAUAUGUUUUAGAAAUUCGUUUUUUGUUUUGUAUAUUUCUUACUCGGUGCCGGGCAAAAAAAACGUAGUUUUGAAUUAAAAUUCAAAACAAUUCACUCUUUGAUAAUCACACGCAAUUGCAGGUGGCAUCAAGCUAUUGGAGAAAAAUAGACAUACGACUUACAUAUUGCAAAUUGAUUUGAUUAGUUUCCAGCUAGUUUUCGUUAGAUUUUAGUUUUCCCAAAAUAAGUCAUCAUAUGACCAAAGGUCGCAUGAGUACGAACAAUAAACACAGAAAUACUUCCACUGUAAAUUCUUUUUAAGUUCUAUUUCUAUUAUUUUUGAGAAAGGAGAAAUUUUGUUAAUCACUGAAAUUUCUCAAUAUUUUCUAUUUCCUAUUCGUAUGCGAACUGUCAGUAAAGCAGUGCACCAGCCUACUGUGAUUUCUUUCAAAUUCUAUUUCAAUUUUUUUCCGAUUCAUUUCAAGCAACUUGUUUUGACACGUGAUAUUAUCACUACGGAAUAUUAUUUUUCACUUCUAGCACUACUCUUUUACAAGUAGCAGGUUUUCUGCAUUUUAGCUCACCAUUUGGUAUGACUGUCUCAGCCACUGAAAUUUCUCUAUAUAUUUCUAUUUACAAUUCGUAUACGACAGGAGCAAUGAAUUUGCCGUUCUCUUCAAAACUAGGUCGUUUUAGAAUAUUUGUGCAAACGGCAAGCACUGAAAUGUCGGAUAUGUUUUGGAAACCGAUCACUGAAAUUUCGAAGAAAUUCUAUAGUUUAUCCUAGUUUGAGCCGAACUGUGUUCGAGCCGUGAUAUUAUCACUACGGAAUAUUAUUUUUGACCCUGAAAAAGUUAAAAAUUACUAAAUUUAAACAGAGUAUAGUCGAAUCGUGAAUCACAUUAAUCGACCGUUUUUUUCACUGAGUUUCUGCGAUACUUUAUUCGACAUCUCUUCGACAGGAUACUUUAUAGAUCCAAACCUCUGACGGUUGGCUCGCUUUGGUAGACACUAAUCCUUCACCGGAGUUGUCACAUCGGCACCAACAGUAAAACUCUCAUUCCCAGCACGGUCACGUUAUCUUUUUUUAUCUUGUUGUCUACUUGAAAACCUUUUCCGUGCGGCUGCAAAUUGAUUUGAUUUAUUUCCAGUUAGUCAUUAUUAGAUUCUAGUUUUCCCAUAAAAGUCGUCAUCAUAUGACCAAAGGUCGCAUGAGUACGAACAAUAAGCUAAGCUAAAAAAAAAUAAAGCGUGUUUUCACGACAAAUGUCCAAUUCCAACUGAACUUUAUUUUCGAGUUAAUUAUAAUUGAGCCUAAAGCUAUGCCUAUCUCUGCUUUGUUAGCUGUUUUGGUUAAAGUAAAUGAAAAUAUAAUGUGGUAGCUGGGUUGCUAUUGCAAGUUGAAGUGGAGUUUUUGGGUUUUGAAAAUACGCACCCCAUUAUUUUGCUUGGCGAUAGUCAACGACUCUUCCGUCACAGCGCCAUCGAUGUCAACGACAUUAGCUGGCAUGUACACGCGAUACUCAAUGUUAAAGUGUGGGCCAUUUACUAUCGCGUGUGUCUGUUUUCAGUCUGCAUUCCUAUUUUUUCUAGCACUACACGUUAAACUCUUAUUCUUCCAUAUUGAGUAAAUAAUGGAAUAAUGUUUAUUCCAAAAGUUGUGUAAUUAAAUUAACCGUUACUUAACAUUUCUAUCUACACGAAAUUGUCACGAAAGUGCAAAACGAUCCUGCCACUGGAAUUUUAUGCUACCUUUUUCAAAUAAUGCAAUUGGAAGAAAAUACUGUCACUGAGAGCAAAUCAAGCAACGAACGUUUUUUUAGACAAACUUAUUUCACGCGAAAUUAACCGAUUAGAGUUUUACUUUAGCAGUUUUGCUUAGUUUGAGCAAGGCGCUGCACGCCUUCAAUUGCUUGUCAAUUCUUUUAGACGAGCUGAUUUUCUAGGCCAGCAGGCGAUUAUUUUUGAACCCGCUACGGCCGAGCGGUCAAAAGGAUUUUUCUAACAAAAUACAAAGAAAAACUAUUUUCCGUCAUCUCUUUUAUAAUAUUUUUCAAAUCAUACCCGGGCAACUCUAAAUAAACAGCUUUUUUGAGAUUUUUUCGAUGGUAACAUUAAAAUAACACCAAUGCGAAGGCAAAUAUUAAAAAAACAUGCUGGUGCCACUUCUUCGAACUUUGAAAAUGGUUUGCAACAUUAACAUCUGGAAAAUGUUUUGGUAAACCGAAUACUCAGAAAACCAACAGCCGAUUGUUGUGUUUUGGCUUAUCAAAUAAAACUGGGGAAAAAUAGCUAAACCUAAAAAUUUCAAACUGUUCUCGUUAAUCCACGUGGCAGCUGAAUUAUUGUUUUCGUUUGCCCAUUUAACAGUCAUUCCAUUUUCGAAUGUUAGUAUUAGGUCUGCUGUCAAUAUCGGUUUGGAUGUUAAGACAGAAAAACUUUACAAUAUGUCUUCAAAAAUGGUAUUGAAGUCAAAAUUAGAUUGUGAGAUGUUUUGGUAGCGGUUCUCUUUAGCACAAUACGAGGUAACCGUUGAGUUGCAAGUAUUCGUUCCAGCUUUAAAAAUACCUUCUGAAAUUUCUUACCUGUACACAGUUGAUCAUACUUUUGCCACUACUAUUCUCUCUUCGAUGAAUAUCAGCAAAACCUACCGCCACCGUCGCACCAACCACUUUAAUUUAGGUUAAGUUAUAGAAAUAUAAAUAUAGACGGAGGCCACGUUACAGAACGUCACCGCAAACGUAAAUCACCCAAGAAAGAUUACCAGAUCGAUAUCCAACGGUUUCAGAAGAGCAUCGUCUGCCCUUCUGAACAUGUAACACGUCGCCGCGCUGAAUAACAAGAUACAUAGGAUUCUCCGACGCUAGAAAAACGUGACGGGAAACCUGCCCACUAAUGAGGGGCGGUUUAAUAAUUAAUAUAUUAAUAUAAUCCGAAGACGACUCUCCGGCAAUCUAAAAUAUGUAUCGGAACCGACUACGCGGUAUCCCUUGGUAAAAGAUAUAAGUUCGGGUGUCUUCGACACCCCCGAAACAAAAGUUUCAAAAUUGUUGCCAAAAGGCAUAGUAUAUGUGUUCAGGACAACAAACUGGUCCCUUCCUUCGAAAUUCCUGGUCAACAGUAAACGGGCCGUAAACACUCCUGUCUUAGACGCCAUCCCGAAAUUAGAUGAAUGCACCUAACCGUAAGAAUGCACUUAGAUAUUUAUAACCUCGAUUUUGGAUUUUCUUUUAUAUGCGACAACACAUGACAUGGUUUCUUAAUAGACUAAGUGAACCGAUUGUCGAGCUAGAUCCGGUCUAGUCGGGCUUAGUCAGAAAGCUCUACUUAAUUCUUAUUAGUAAUUUCCAGUACUGUUUUUUCAACUUUACUGACAUUAAGUGAACUUACUCUAUUACAUUUCCGGCUUUUCUAUCCACUGAUCAUUUUCCCAUAAAGCGUUGUGAGAUUUUUUUGGUAUUUGAAUUAGUUUUCUUGAGAGUACAAUCCACUGAAUGCAAGUUCUUCAUUAUGUUCAAUCGUAUAAUAUUCAGUUUUAAAAUGCACCAACAUCCGCUACAUCUGCAGCUAACGUCUCAGUUCACGUUUCGGUACUGAAACUCCACAUAUCUUAAGAUUUCUGACCAUAGUUUGGAUCGAUUCGUUCCAGCUUUAAAAAUACCUUCUGCAAUUUCUUACCUGUACGCAGUUGAGCAUCCUUUUGCCACUACUAUUCUCUCUUUGACGACUAUCAGCAAAACCCACCGCCGCACCAACCACUUUAAUUUAGGUUAAGUUGUAGAAAUUUAGUUUUUGCUACAACACAACACAGGGGCGUAUGUUUUUGCUAAUCUCUUCAAAACUAGGUCGUUUUAGAAUAUUUACGAUGGGAAACAAAAACAACGCGCCGCCUACUAUGAUUCAACGAUUGUCCAAUUGAGUGCAACAUAGUCGACCAGCAUUUCGCUGUCGUCAUCAAGCUCCGGGUGAUCAUCGCUAUCCGUGUCAGAGGGGCGUCCAUCCCUCGACUCAUCAGCGAUGGGCUCGGAUUUAAAAUCCAGAGGGUCGGCGAAUUUAGACGCCGGCACUCCGUCUUUAGUCGAGGCGGACUUACUCGCACCCGACGUACCAGAGGCAGAAUCAGUAGUGGAACCACUACUCUUAGAAUUCUUUCGCCUAUCGGCGAAAGCUUUUUUACUCUUAUCAAAUUUAGCCUUAGAACGAGGACAUGAUAGUCCACCAAAUGUAGAAUCAUCAUUGCACGUAUGCAAGGUGCCCACUCUUGCUUCGCACACGGUAUCUUUAAUAGUUAAGGAAACUCUAUCGAGAAUUAUUCGAGGAGAUAUAAAUCCCCGAUCCACUAGAGAGUCAAAUCUACCCUCAUUAAAUAAAAGAUCAGAAUUAAUCCGAAGACGACUCUCCGGUAACCUAAAGUACUUAUCAGAUCCGACAACGCGGUAUCCCUUGGUGAAUGAGAUUAACUCGGGUGUCUGCGACACCCCAGAGACAAAAGUCUCAAAAUUAUUGCCAAAAGGCAUAGAAUAGGUAUUAAGGACCACGAACUGGUCCCUCCCUCCGUGACUCCUUGUCAGCAAUACAUCGGUCUAAAGCUCUUUGCCUCCUCAUAAGUGACGCGGCCACCUUUGCGAAUGAAUUUGACAGUUAUUUCCAUAACUGACAUACUUCAACCCGCCGGAUGCCACGCGGCCUCUAGGCUGGUUUUGUCCGGAGAAAGAUAAUAGAGUUAUCAACCUCCUAGUGGACCACAGCCAGUUACUGGGGAAGAAUGCACUUAGAUAUUUAUAACCUCGAUUUUGGAUUUUCUUUUAUAUGCGACAACACAUGACAUGGUUUCUUAAUAGACUAAGUGAACCGAUUGUCGAGCUAGAUCCGGUCUAGUCGGGCUUAGUCAGAAAGCUCUACUUAAUUCUUAUUAGUAAUUUCCAGUACUGUUUUUUCAACUUUACUGACAUUAAGUGAACUUACUCUAUUACAUUUCCGGCUUUUCUAUCCACUGAUCAUUUUCCCAUAAAGCGUUGUGAGAUUUUUUUGGUAUUUGAAUUAGUUUUCUUGAGAGUACAAUCCACUGAAUGCAAGUUCUUCAUUAUGUUCAAUCGUAUAAUAUUCAGUUUUAAAAUGCACCAACAUCCGCUACAUCUGCAGCUAACGUCUCAGUUCACGUUUCGGUACUGAAACUCCACAUAUCUUAAGAUUUCUGACCAUAGUUUGGAUCGAUUCGUUCCAGCUUUAAAAAUACCUUCUGCAAUUUCUUACCUGUACGCAGUUGAGCAUCCUUUUGCCACUACUAUUCUCUCUUUGACGACUAUCAGCAAAACCCACCGCCGCACCAACCACUUUAAUUUAGGUUAAGUUGUAGAAAUUUAGUUUUUGCUACAACACAACACAGGGGCGUAUGUUUUUGCUAAUCUCUUCAAAACUAGGUCGUUUUAGAAUAUUUACGAUGGGAAACAAAAACAACGCGCCGCCUACUAUGAUUCAACGAUUGUUGAACGACAGUCGCGCUGCUUCCGAUUGUGAAAUCUGACUCGGGUCGAUUUACUGCAAUUUCUUUUUUUGUUACUAAGAGCUGCUUGAAACUUUGUCAUUUGUUCGAUUUUGGAUUUUCUUUUAUAUGCGACAGGAAUCAGUACCGUCUGGCUCAAAUGGCACGUUCUCCAUGUUGAUCGGAGAUUUGUGCCUUGCCAAGAAUCGUCUUUUCAUCAUUUUCCUGAUGGGAAGGAUUGGGGAAGUGGUAAGGUUAGGGGUAAGGAAAACAACGACACAGAACAAUUAAAACAGAGCAUUCUGCACCCCCGGAGUGAUGCUGAACGAUCUGCAGGUGCUACAAUAGCAGGAAUAAAACUUCCAAUCCCCGGAGGGAUUUAGAACCUCUACUCAAACAGUGAGCGGAUAUAUCAACACCCCCGAGGGGAUAUUGAGAUAACAGAACGACAACACCCCCGAAGAGAUAUUGUCAUUCAAAUACGGCUAAAAAACUAUAGCUCUUUACCAUACUAGGUUAGGAACAAAAGCAUAUACUUAAAUUUCAGCUCUCUGUAUAUAGGUUCAUCUAUGUAUGGAGAACCAAAAAAACCGGAUGCGCAAUUGCAUUAAUACAGGACAAUUGCAUAUCAAAUGAUAUGAUGUUCCGUAAUCGGAUUCACAAAGAUCACAUGAAUAAUACUCAGCGCACUGAAUAGUAGUCAUGUGAUAAUUGAGUUUGCAAUGUCCAGUCAGUGCCCUGAACAGAAUACUGCAGUUGUGCUUGGAAAAAUGCAACAAAUUUCUUGACAUUUUCAGACUCACAUCCGGCAGAAAAGCCUUUGUUUGAACGCAAGUUUGCAAGCUACGCCAAUGGUUGGCAUGUUCGAAUGCAGCCCAAGAGCGAAUCUUGUGCUUUAUCCAACUUAUUGACAGUGGUAGAACUGGUUCUAGACCAACGAAAUCAGUCGCAGCGCCAGCUCUAGCCAAUUCGUCCGCCCAUUCAUUUCCAGUAAUACCGGAAUGACCGGGUACCCAUAGAAGGUAGAUGGCAUUUGAAAUGCUAAGUUCUUCGAUUUGAGUUCGACAUGCGAUUACUAAUUUCGAUCUCGAAUCUGCCGAACUAAGUGCUUUCAGGGCAGCCUGGCUGUCAGAGCAAAAAUAGAUUCUUUUACCGCAAAUUUCCUGUUGAAGUGCGGAUUGUACGCCACACAGAAUCGCAAAGAUUUCUGCUUGGAAUAUGGUACAGUAUCUACCAAGCGAAUGAGAUUGGUUUAAUCUCAUCUCAUGACAAUAGACACCAGCACCGGCUCGGCCCUCCAACAAAGAACCGUUCGUAUAACAAACUACGUAUUCUUCAAGUUGUCGCUCCAUCCAGCCAGACAGCCAUUCCUCACGAAGAGGAAUUCUCACAUUGAAAGUUUUAGAAAGAAAACUACAUGUGAGUGUAAGGUCACUGGGAGCAAGUGUAUAUUCAUCCCAAGUAACCAUUUGGGGCCACAGUCUUGUGUGGCUAGUUACACGAUCUAUUGGGUUACUGUUCCAGAGCCCAGUAACCUUAAGCCGGUAUGCACAAGAAAGUGCUUCUUGUUUCAGAAACACAUGUAGUGGUUUUAUGUUCAAGAGUGCCUCGAGAGCAGCAGUAGGUGUUGUCGAGAACGCACCAGUCAUCGCCAUCAAGACCAUCCUCUGAAGAUGGUUUAACUUUGAUUGGAUUGUCAUGACUUCUCCCUUCUGCCACCAAACAAGGCACCCGUAUGCCAGUAUUGGUCUAACAAUUGUUGUGUAGAUCCACUGAAUGUACUUGGGUUUGAGUCCCCAAGAUUUGCCGAAAGCCCGUCUACAUUGGCCAAAGGCCAUGCAAGCUUUCUUGAUCCUGAAAUCGAUGUGAGCUGUCCAAUUAAGUUGUGAGUCGAGAAUUACCCCAACGUACUUAACUUGAUCUUCGACAAUAAUUUCAGAGUCAAAAAACUGCAAUGGACGAGCUCCGGUUGUAAUCCUUCAUUGCGUAAAAAGCACCAUUGAGGUUUUAUUUGGAUUAACUGAUAGUCCAACAUGAAGACACCACCGCUCAACAACACAUAAGGCUUGUUGCAUCAAAUCAAAAAGUGUGUUAAUGUAAAUACCGGUGAUCAUUAUAUGAUAAUCAUCGGCGAAACCAUACGUCGGAAACCCAAGCUCAUUCAGUUUUCUCAACAAGCUAUCGGCGACAAGGUUCCAUAGAAGUGGUGACAGCACACCACCUUUAGGACAUUCGCAGACACUCAGUUUCCUCAUCUCUACUUGUCUUAACGAUGAGCACAGAUGUCGGUUGCUAAGCAUUGCGUGUAUCCAGUUCGUGAUAUAUGAAGGUACUGCAUGAUCUCGUGCUGCUUCCAAAAUGGAUUCGAAAGACACGUCGUCAAAAGCACCUUCAAUAUCGAGAAAAACUCCUAAACUUGAUUGCUUUUGUGAAAAAGCUUUUUCAAUGUUGUAGACAACAUUGUGUAACAGGGUGGUAGUAGACUUCCCCCGCUGAUAUGCAUGUUGCAUUGCAUGCAGCGGGUGCUCGCCCAAGCUACCAUCCCGAAUGUAGUGGUCGAUUAAACGUUCCACUGAUUUGAGAAGGAAGGAGGUCAGACUGAUCGGUCUAAAGCUCUUUGCCUCCUCAUAAGUGACGCGGCCACCUUUGCGAAUGAAUUUGACAGUUAUUUCCAUAACUGACAUACUUCAACCCGCCGGAUGCCACGCGGCCUCUAGGCUGGUUUUGUCCGGAGAAAGAUAAUAGAGUUAUCAACCUCCUAGUGGACCACAGCCAGUUACUGGGGAGUUCGCCCGGCUCUUCCCAGGCUCCGUUCGCCAUUGAGAAUAUUUUAAACCCCCUCAACAAUUUUACCCAUAGCACGGGUCGCAUGACACUAUGGAAUUGGGGUUCCCUGUUUGGUGUUACCACCGGAACAGGUAGUCCGUAGUGUAAUUCUUAGCCGGUUGAAACAACCACUACCGACACUACACGGCUUAUCUAGGCUGUUCGGAGAAAGAAGCUGACAUUUAUGGACAGCUCCCAUAGAUGGCCGAACAGCCAAAUUUUUUUUUUUACAUUAAAUAUCUACGCCGAGGCACAUCAUACACAGAUUUGACCCAUGCAUGAAUUCACCACAAAAGACAGAGGCCACGUUACAGAACGUCACCGCAAACGUAAAUCACCCAAGAAAGAUUACCAGAUCGAUAUCCAACGGUUUCAGAAGAGCAUCGUCUGCCCUUCUGAACAUGUAACACGUCGCCGCGCUGAAUAACAAGAUACAUAGGUUUCUCCGACGCUAGAAAAACGUGACGGGAAACCUGCCCACUAAUGAGGGGCGGUUUAAUAAUUAAUAUAUUAAUAUAAUCCGAAGAUGACUCUCCGGCAAUCUAAAAUAUGUAUCGGAACCGACUACGCGGUAUCCCUUGGUAAAAGAUAUAAGUUCGGGUGUCUUCGACACCCCCGAAACAAAAGUUUCAAAAUUGUUGCCAAAAGGCAUAGUAUAUGUGUUCAGGACAACAAACUGGUCCCUUCCUUCGAAAUUCCUGGUCAACAGUAAACGGGCCGUAAACACUCCUGUCUUAGACGCCAUCCCGAAAUUAGAUGAAUGCACCUAACCGUAAGAAUGCACUUAGAUAUUUAUAACCUCGAUUUUGGAUUUUCUUUUAUAUGCGACAACACAUGACAUGGUUUCUUAAUAGACUAAGUGAACCGAUUGUCGAGCUAGAUCCGGUCUAGUCGGGCUUAGUCAGAAAGCUCUACUUAAUUCUUAUUAGUAAUUUCCAGUACUGUUUUUUCAACUUUACUGACAUUAAGUGAACUUACUCUAUUACAUUUCCGGCUUUUCUAUCCACUGAUCAUUUUCCCAUAAAGCGUUGUGAGAUUUUUUUGGUAUUUGAAUUAGUUUUCUUGAGAGUACAAUCCACUGAAUGCAAGUUCUUCAUUAUGUUCAAUCGUAUAAUAUUCAGUUUUAAAAUGCACCAACAUCCGCUACAUCUGCAGCUAACGUCUCAGUUCACGUUUCGGUACUGAAACUCCACAUAUCUUAAGAUUUCUGACCAUAGUUUGGAUCGAUUCGUUCCAGCUUUAAAAAUACCUUCUGCAAUUUCUUACCUGUACGCAGUUGAGCAUCCUUUUGCCACUACUAUUCUCUCUUUGACGACUAUCAGCAAAACCCACCGCCGCACCAACCACUUUAAUUUAGGUUAAGUUGUAGAAAUUUAGUUUUUGCUACAACACAACACAGGGGCGUAUGUUUUUGCUAAUCUCUUCAAAACUAGGUCGUUUUAGAAUAUUUACGAUGGGAAACAAAAACAACGCGCCGCCUACUAUGAUUCAACGAUUGUCCAAUUGAGUGCAACAUAGUCGACCAGCAUUUCGCUGUCGUCAUCAAGCUCCGGGUGAUCAUCGCUAUCCGUGUCAGAGGGGCGUCCAUCCCUCGACUCAUCAGCGAUGGGCUCGGAUUUAAAAUCCAGAGGGUCGGCGAAUUUAGACGCCGGCACUCCGUCUUUAGUCGAGGCGGACUUACUCGCACCCGACGUACCAGAGGCAGAAUCAGUAGUGGAACCACUACUCUUAGAAUUCUUUCGCCUAUCGGCGAAAGCUUUUUUACUCUUAUCAAAUUUAGCCUUAGAACGAGGACAUGAUAGUCCACCAAAUGUAGAAUCAUCAUUGCACGUAUGCAAGGUGCCCACUCUUGCUUCGCACACGGUAUCUUUAAUAGUUAAGGAAACUCUAUCGAGAAUUAUUCGAGGAGAUAUAAAUCCCCGAUCCACUAGAGUCAAAUCUACCCUCAUUAAAUAAAAGAUCAGAAUUAAUCCGAAGACGACUCUCCGGUAACCUAAAGUACUUAUCAGAUCCGACAACGCGGUAUCCCUUGGUGAAUGAGAUUAACUCGGGUGUCUGCGACACCCCAGAGACAAAAGUCUCAAAAUUAUUGCCAAAAGGCAUAGAAUAGGUAUUAAGGACCACGAACUGGUCCCUCCCUCCGUGACUCCUUGUCAGCAAUACAUCGGUCUAAAGCUCUUUGCCUCCUCAUAAGUGACGCGGCCACCUUUGCGAAUGAAUUUGACAGUUAUUUCCAUAACUGACAUACUUCAACCCGCCGGAUGCCACGCGGCCUCUAGGCUGGUUUUGUCCGGAGAAAGAUAAUAGAGUUAUCAACCUCCUAGUGGACCACAGCCAGUUACUGGGGAAGAAUGCACUUAGAUAUUUAUAACCUCGAUUUUGGAUUUUCUUUUAUAUGCGACAACACAUGACAUGGUUUCUUAAUAGACUAAGUGAACCGAUUGUCGAGCUAGAUCCGGUCUAGUCGGGCUUAGUCAGAAAGCUCUACUUAAUUCUUAUUAGUAAUUUCCAGUACUGUUUUUUCAACUUUACUGACAUUAAGUGAACUUACUCUAUUACAUUUCCGGCUUUUCUAUCCACUGAUCAUUUUCCCAUAAAGCGUUGUGAGAUUUUUUUGGUAUUUGAAUUAGUUUUCUUGAGAGUACAAUCCACUGAAUGCAAGUUCUUCAUUAUGUUCAAUCGUAUAAUAUUCAGUUUUAAAAUGCACCAACAUCCGCUACAUCUGCAGCUAACGUCUCAGUUCACGUUUCGGUACUGAAACUCCACAUAUCUUAAGAUUUCUGACCAUAGUUUGGAUCGAUUCGUUCCAGCUUUAAAAAUACCUUCUGCAAUUUCUUACCUGUACGCAGUUGAGCAUCCUUUUGCCACUACUAUUCUCUCUUUGACGACUAUCAGCAAAACCCACCGCCGCACCAACCACUUUAAUUUAGGUUAAGUUGUAGAAAUUUAGUUUUUGCUACAACACAACACAGGGGCGUAUGUUUUUGCUAAUCUCUUCAAAACUAGGUCGUUUUAGAAUAUUUACGAUGGGAAACAAAAACAACGCGCCGCCUACUAUGAUUCAACGAUUGUCCAAUUGAGUGCAACAUAGUCGACCAGCAUUUCGCUGUCGUCAUCAAGCUCCGGGUGAUCAUCGCUAUCCGUGUCAGAGGGGCGUCCAUCCCUCGACUCAUCAGCGAUGGGCUCGGAUUUAAAAUCCAGAGGGUCGGCGAAUUUAGACGCCGGCACUCCGUCUUUAGUCGAGGCGGACUUACUCGCACCCGACGUACCAGAGGCAGAAUCAGUAGUGGAACCACUACUCUUAGAAUUCUUUCGCCUAUCGGCGAAAGCUUUUUUACUCUUAUCAAAUUUAGCCUUAGAACGAGGACAUGAUAGUCCACCAAAUGUAGAAUCAUCAUUGCACGUAUGCAAGGUGCCCACUCUUGCUUCGCACACGGUAUCUUUAAUAGUUAAGGAAACUCUAUCGAGAAUUAUUCGAGGAGAUAUAAAUCCCCGAUCCACUAGAGAGUCAAAUCUACCCUCAUUAAAUAAAAGAUCAGAAUUAAUCCGAAGACGACUCUCCGGUAACCUAAAGUACUUAUCAGAUCCGACAACGCGGUAUCCCUUGGUGAAUGAGAUUAACUCGGGUGUCUGCGACACCCCAGAGACAAAAGUCUCAAAAUUAUUGCCAAAAGGCAUAGAAUAGGUAUUAAGGACCACGAACUGGUCCCUCCCUCCGUGACUCCUUGUCAGCAAUACAUCGGUCUAAAGCUCUUUGCCUCCUCAUAAGUGACGCGGCCACCUUUGCGAAUGAAUUUGACAGUUAUUUCCAUAACUGACAUACUUCAACCCGCCGGAUGCCACGCGGCCUCUAGGCUGGUUUUGUCCGGAGAAAGAUAAUAGAGUUAUCAACCUCCUAGUGGACCACAGCCAGUUACUGGGGAAGAAUGCACUUAGAUAUUUAUAACCUCGAUUUUGGAUUUUCUUUUAUAUGCGACAACACAUGACAUGGUUUCUUAAUAGACUAAGUGAACCGAUUGUCGAGCUAGAUCCGGUCUAGUCGGGCUUAGUCAGAAAGCUCUACUUAAUUCUUAUUAGUAAUUUCCAGUACUGUUUUUUCAACUUUACUGACAUUAAGUGAACUUACUCUAUUACAUUUCCGGCUUUUCUAUCCACUGAUCAUUUUCCCAUAAAGCGUUGUGAGAUUUUUUUGGUAUUUGAAUUAGUUUUCUUGAGAGUACAAUCCACUGAAUGCAAGUUCUUCAUUAUGUUCAAUCGUAUAAUAUUCAGUUUUAAAAUGCACCAACAUCCGCUACAUCUGCAGCUAACGUCUCAGUUCACGUUUCGGUACUGAAACUCCACAUAUCUUAAGAUUUCUGACCAUAGUUUGGAUCGAUUCGUUCCAGCUUUAAAAAUACCUUCUGCAAUUUCUUACCUGUACGCAGUUGAGCAUCCUUUUGCCACUACUAUUCUCUCUUUGACGACUAUCAGCAAAACCCACCGCCGCACCAACCACUUUAAUUUAGGUUAAGUUGUAGAAAUUUAGUUUUUGCUACAACACAACACAGGGGCGUAUGUUUUUGCUAAUCUCUUCAAAACUAGGUCGUUUUAGAAUAUUUACGAUGGGAAACAAAAACAACGCGCCGCCUACUAUGAUUCAACGAUUGUUGAACGACAGUCGCGCUGCUUCCGAUUGUGAAAUCUGACUCGGGUCGAUUUACUGCAAUUUCUUUUUUUGUUACUAAGAGCUGCUUGAAACUUUGUCAUUUGUUCGAUUUUGGAUUUUCUUUUAUAUGCGACAGGAAUCAGUACCGUCUGGCUCAAAUGGCACGUUCUCCAUGUUGAUCGGAGAUUUGUGCCUUGCCAAGAAUCGUCUUUUCAUCAUUUUCCUGAUGGGAAGGAUUGGGGAAGUGGUAAGGUUAGGGGUAAGGAAAACAACGACACAGAACAAUUAAAACAGAGCAUUCUGCACCCCCGGAGUGAUGCUGAACGAUCUGCAGGUGCUACAAUAGCAGGAAUAAAACUUCCAAUCCCCGGAGGGAUUUAGAACCUCUACUCAAACAGUGAGCGGAUAUAUCAACACCCCCGAGGGGAUAUUGAGAUAACAGAACGACAACACCCCCGAAGAGAUAUUGUCAUUCAAAUACGGCUAAAAAACUAUAGCUCUUUACCAUACUAGGUUAGGAACAAAAGCAUAUACUUAAAUUUCAGCUCUCUGUAUAUAGGUUCAUCUAUGUAUGGAGAACCAAAAAAACCGGAUGCGCAAUUGCAUUAAUACAGGACAAUUGCAUAUCAAAUGAUAUGAUGUUCCGUAAUCGGAUUCACAAAGAUCACAUGAAUAAUACUCAGCGCACUGAAUAGUAGUCAUGUGAUAAUUGAGUUUGCAAUGUCCAGUCAGUGCCCUGAACAGAAUACUGCAGUUGUGCUUGGAAAAAUGCAACAAAUUUCUUGACAUUUUCAGACUCACAUCCGGCAGAAAAGCCUUUGUUUGAACGCAAGUUUGCAAGCUACGCCAAUGGUUGGCAUGUUCGAAUGCAGCCCAAGAGCGAAUCUUGUGCUUUAUCCAACUUAUUGACAGUGGUAGAACUGGUUCUAGACCAACGAAAUCAGUCGCAGCGCCAGCUCUAGCCAAUUCGUCCGCCCAUUCAUUUCCAGUAAUACCGGAAUGACCGGGUACCCAUAGAAGGUAGAUGGCAUUUGAAAUGCUAAGUUCUUCGAUUUGAGUUCGACAUGCGAUUACUAAUUUCGAUCUCGAAUCUGCCGAACUAAGUGCUUUCAGGGCAGCCUGGCUGUCAGAGCAAAAAUAGAUUCUUUUACCGCAAAUUUCCUGUUGAAGUGCGGAUUGUACGCCACACAGAAUCGCAAAGAUUUCUGCUUGGAAUAUGGUACAGUAUCUACCAAGCGAAUGAGAUUGGUUUAAUCUCAUCUCAUGACAAUAGACACCAGCACCGGCUCGGCCCUCCAACAAAGAACCGUUCGUAUAACAAACUACGUAUUCUUCAAGUUGUCGCUCCAUCCAGCCAGACAGCCAUUCCUCACGAAGAGGAAUUCUCACAUUGAAAGUUUUAGAAAGAAAACUACAUGUGAGUGUAAGGUCACUGGGAGCAAGUGUAUAUUCAUCCCAAGUAACCAUUUGGGGCCACAGUCUUGUGUGGCUAGUUACACGAUCUAUUGGGUUACUGUUCCAGAGCCCAGUAACCUUAAGCCGGUAUGCACAAGAAAGUGCUUCUUGUUUCAGAAACACAUGUAGUGGUUUUAUGUUCAAGAGUGCCUCGAGAGCAGCAGUAGGUGUUGUCGAGAACGCACCAGUCAUCGCCAUCAAGACCAUCCUCUGAAGAUGGUUUAACUUUGAUUGGAUUGUCAUGACUUCUCCCUUCUGCCACCAAACAAGGCACCCGUAUGCCAGUAUUGGUCUAACAAUUGUUGUGUAGAUCCACUGAAUGUACUUGGGUUUGAGUCCCCAAGAUUUGCCGAAAGCCCGUCUACAUUGGCCAAAGGCCAUGCAAGCUUUCUUGAUCCUGAAAUCGAUGUGAGCUGUCCAAUUAAGUUGUGAGUCGAGAAUUACCCCAACGUACUUAACUUGAUCUUCGACAAUAAUUUCAGAGUCAAAAAACUGCAAUGGACGAGCUCCGGUUGUAAUCCUUCAUUGCGUAAAAAGCACCAUUGAGGUUUUAUUUGGAUUAACUGAUAGUCCAACAUGAAGACACCACCGCUCAACAACACAUAAGGCUUGUUGCAUCAAAUCAAAAAGUGUGUUAAUGUAAAUACCGGUGAUCAUUAUAUGAUAAUCAUCGGCGAAACCAUACGUCGGAAACCCAAGCUCAUUCAGUUUUCUCAACAAGCUAUCGGCGACAAGGUUCCAUAGAAGUGGUGACAGCACACCACCUUUAGGACAUUCGCAGACACUCAGUUUCCUCAUCUCUACUUGUCUUAACGAUGAGCACAGAUGUCGGUUGCUAAGCAUUGCGUGUAUCCAGUUCGUGAUAUAUGAAGGUACUGCAUGAUCUCGUGCUGCUUCCAAAAUGGAUUCGAAAGACACGUCGUCAAAAGCACCUUCAAUAUCGAGAAAAACUCCUAAACUUGAUUGCUUUUGUGAAAAAGCUUUUUCAAUGUUGUAGACAACAUUGUGUAACAGGGUGGUAGUAGACUUCCCCCGCUGAUAUGCAUGUUGCAUUGCAUGCAGCGGGUGCUCGCCCAAGCUACCAUCCCGAAUGUAGUGGUCGAUUAAACGUUCCACUGAUUUGAGAAGGAAGGAGGUCAGACUGAUCGGUCUAAAGCUCUUUGCCUCCUCAUAAGUGACGCGGCCACCUUUGCGAAUGAAUUUGACAGUUAUUUCCAUAACUGACAUACUUCAACCCGCCGGAUGCCACGCGGCCUCUAGGCUGGUUUUGUCCGGAGAAAGAUAAUAGAGUUAUCAACCUCCUAGUGGACCACAGCCAGUUACUGGGGAGUUCGCCCGGCUCUUCCCAGGCUCCGUUCGCCAUUGAGAAUAUUUUAAACCCCCUCAACAAUUUUACCCAUAGCACGGGUCGCAUGACACUAUGGAAUUGGGGUUCCCUGUUUGGUGUUACCACCGGAACAGGUAGUCCGUAGUGUAAUUCUUAGCCGGUUGAAACAACCACUACCGACACUACACGGCUUAUCUAGGCUGUUCGGAGAAAGAAGCUGACAUUUAUGGACAGCUCCCAUAGAUGGCCGAACAGCCAAAUUUUUUUUUUACAUUAAAUAUCUACGCCGAGGCACAUCAUACACAGAUUUGACCCAUGCAUGAAUUCACCACAAAAGACAGAGGCCACGUUACAGAACGUCACCGCAAACGUAAAUCACCCAAGAAAGAUUACCAGAUCGAUAUCCAACGGUUUCAGAAGAGCAUCGUCUGCCCUUCUGAACAUGUAACACGUCGCCGCGCUGAAUAACAAGAUACAUAGGUUUCUCCGACGCUAGAAAAACGUGACGGGAAACCUGCCCACUAAUGAGGGGCGGUUUAAUAAUUAAUAUAUUAAUAUAAUCCGAAGAUGACUCUCCGGCAAUCUAAAAUAUGUAUCGGAACCGACUACGCGGUAUCCCUUGGUAAAAGAUAUAAGUUCGGGUGUCUUCGACACCCCCGAAACAAAAGUUUCAAAAUUGUUGCCAAAAGGCAUAGUAUAUGUGUUCAGGACAACAAACUGGUCCCUUCCUUCGAAAUUCCUGGUCAACAGUAAACGGGCCGUAAACACUCCUGUCUUAGACGCCAUCCCGAAAUUAGAUGAAUGCACCUAACCGUAAGAAUGCACUUAGAUAUUUAUAACCUCGAUUUUGGAUUUUCUUUUAUAUGCGACAACACAUGACAUGGUUUCUUAAUAGACUAAGUGAACCGAUUGUCGAGCUAGAUCCGGUCUAGUCGGGCUUAGUCAGAAAGCUCUACUUAAUUCUUAUUAGUAAUUUCCAGUACUGUUUUUUCAACUUUACUGACAUUAAGUGAACUUACUCUAUUACAUUUCCGGCUUUUCUAUCCACUGAUCAUUUUCCCAUAAAGCGUUGUGAGAUUUUUUUGGUAUUUGAAUUAGUUUUCUUGAGAGUACAAUCCACUGAAUGCAAGUUCUUCAUUAUGUUCAAUCGUAUAAUAUUCAGUUUUAAAAUGCACCAACAUCCGCUACAUCUGCAGCUAACGUCUCAGUUCACGUUUCGGUACUGAAACUCCACAUAUCUUAAGAUUUCUGACCAUAGUUUGGAUCGAUUUUCUUCGCAAGAUACAAAUACAGUCGAAUGAAAAUCUGUUCAAAGGCGUCAGUAAUAAAUGUAAAGUGAAAGACUUAGUCAAGAUGCAAUAAUUAUAACAACAUGCUAGUUAAACCCCCCCUCACUCGCAAUAGAUUUAAACACGGUCCAUCUGACUGCCAACAUUCUGAAUCCUUGAUAGCAUUCAUAGUAUUAGCACAUCCCCACACAUUUCAGUAUCUCUCAAGAAGUCGUCAUAAUAUAACCAAAGGUCACACAAGCUCAGAUUAUUGAACGAGAUACGGCGAGAGUAGGUAACAGAUGAACUGUCAAAACUGAAAAUCAAUAGCAAUUCGAUCGAAGUAGGCUGGUUAUCCCCACACAUUUAUCCUAAACUAGAGAGAACAGGGUAGAAACGAAAAAUAUUCAAACCAAAUAAACUUUAUUGAACAGAUCAAUCCAGCAAGAUGCAAAGGUACAAUUGAUUGUGGCAGCGGUAUGUGUUAGAUAGGAUCUAGAAGGAAUGAUUUGUUAGCAUGUUCUAGGACGAAAACGACUGUAUGUAAAGGAAAUCUAUUGAAUAAAAGAUGUCAGCUAUGAAA